AUUGAACGCUGGCGGCAGGCUUAACACAUGCAAGUCGAGCGAGCGGCGGACGGGUGAGUAAUGUCUGGGAAACUGCCUGAUGGAGGGGGAUAACUACUGGAAACGGUAGCUAAUACCGCAUACCAUCAGAUGUGCCCAGCUGGGAUUAGCUAGGGGGUGGGGUAAUGGCUCACCUAGGCGACGAUCACUAGCUGGUCUGAGAGGAGGACCAGCCACACUGGAACUGAGACACGGUCCAGACUCCUACGGGAGGCAGCAGUGGGGAAUAUUGCACAAUGGGCGCAAGCCUGAUGCAGCCAUGCCGCGUGUGUGAAGAAGGCCUUCGGGUUGUAAAGCACUUUCGGCAGGGAAGCGGUACUCGCAGAAGAAGCACCGGCUAACUCCGUGCCAGCAGCCGCGGUAAUAC
rnacentral:rRNA from 1 species